rnacentral:rRNA from 1 species
UACGGAGGGUGCGAGCGUUGUUCGGAAUCACUGGGCGUAAAGCGCGUGUAGGCGGCCUGCUAAGUCUGAUGUGAAAGCCCGAGGCUCACCCUCGGAAGUGCAUUGGAAACUGGCAGACUGGAGUCCCGGAGAGGAGGGUGGAAUUCCUGGUGUAGCGGUGAAAUGCGUAGAUAUCAGGAGGAACACCGGUGGCGAAGGCGGCCCUCUGGGACGGUACUGACGCUGAGACGCGAAAGCGUGGGGAGCAAACAGG